rnacentral:rRNA from 1 species
UAGUUGCCAGCAGUCCGGCUGGGCACUCUAGGGAAACUGCCCGUGAUAAGCGGGAGGAAGGUGUGGAUGACGUCAAGUCCUCAUGGCCCUUACGGGUUGGGCUACACACGUGCUACAAUGGUGGUGACAGUGGGUUAAUCCCCAAAAGCCAUCUCAGUUCGGAUUGUCGUCUGCAACUCGACGGCAUGAAGUCGGAAUCGCUAGUAAUCNCGGAACAGCAUGCCGCGGUGAAUACGUUCCCGGGCCUUGNACACA